UCUCUUCAGAUCUAUCGCUGC
rnacentral:siRNA from 1 species